rnacentral:tRNA from 1 species
AAAAAGAUAAGCUAAAUUAAGCUAAUGGGUUCAUACCCCACUUAUAGAAAGAAUAUUCUUCUUUUUA